rnacentral:lncRNA from 1 species
UAUCUUUGGGAUUAAGUAGAUAUUAGUGUCAUUAAGACCAUUAGCCAUUGAUCCUUCAAAAAGGAAUUGACUAACCAUAUGAGUUAAAUCCUCCUUUAUGAUAUCCCAUAAUUUCUGAUAGAAAAGAGCGGUCAUCCCACUCAAUGACCAGGCCUGUAAGAUCAUCAUUUAUUGUCUCAGUGAUUGUAGAUGAUACCUCAGAUAGUACAUCUGCUAUAUCUUAUGGGUUAAAUGAUUCAAAGAUUUGACUAAAAUAACUAGUAGCAAUGGCUAUCAGUCCUUUCUCAUCCUCGACAACAUUCCCAGUUGCAUCCCUCAACUGAGUGAUUCU